rnacentral:lncRNA from 12 species
GGCAAGGUGCAGCUGGCUCCCCCAUGCAGGAAUAGCUGCAGGAAUUCCCCUCAGAUUCUCUGCUCCCACAAAACAGAAACAUCUUCCUGAAUAAUGUGCCAGAAGAACAUCUCCCUGGCGCAGCUAACACAAAGCUGCAAUCAUGAAAAAU